AACGGAAAGGCCCUGCUUUUGUGGGGUGCUCGAGUGGCGAACGGGUGAGUAACACGUGAGUAACCUGCCCUUGACUUUGGGAUAACUUCAGGAAACUGGGGCUAAUACCGGAUAGGAGCUCCUGCUGCAUGGUGGGGGUUGGAAAGUUUCGGCGGUUGGGGAUGGACUCGCGGCUUAUCAGCUUGUUGGUGGGGUAGUGGCUUACCAAGGCUUUGACGGGUAGCCGGCCUGAGAGGGUGACCGGCCACAUUGGGACUGAGAUACGGCCCAGACUCCUACGGGAGGCAGCAGUGGGGAAUAUUGCACAAUGGGCGGAAGCCUGAUGCAGCAACGCCGCGUGCGGGAUGACGGCCUUCGGGUUGUAAACCGCUUUCGCCUGUGACGAAGCGUGAGUGACGGUAAUGGGUAAAGAAGCACCGGCUAACUAUGUGCCAGCAGCCGCGGUGAUACGUAGGGUGCGAGCGUUGUCCGGAUUUAUUGGGCGUAAAGGGCUCGUAGGUGGUUGAUCGCGUCGGAAGUGUAAUCUUGGGGCUUAACCCUGAGCGUGCUUUCGAUACGGGUUGACUUG
rnacentral:rRNA from 1 species